AAACAAACAUACACACACACACACCACCAUCAUGAUGCCGAAUACAAAAAUCUCAUCACAUAGUACUUAUAAUGACAAAUGAUGAUUCUUGAAGAUUCUAGAGAUACACUCCAACAAGAAAAUCAUGCCACCUCCAAAACGGCAUAACAAAACAACAAGCGUUUACCAUCAACAAAGAAACAUACAUAAACACAGAUAUUCCAAUUUUCUCAUUUGGUAAGGCAGUCUUUCACAAUUUUCAACAACUAAAAAUAUACAUUCACUCGAGUAAUUUGGGACCAAGAUAACAUUAAGGAAGUAAGGACUAAUAUCUAGUUGAGUUGAGUAAGGCAAACAAAAAAAUUAAUCAACAUGAAAGAAGAAAAAGACUAUAUAAAGUUCAAGACUAGCUAGAUUGCAG
rnacentral:misc_RNA from 1 species